rnacentral:lncRNA from 1 species
GAUUAGGUUUGGUGUUACAGUUAUGGAUUGGAAAUCCAGCACUUCCAAUGAUCAGCUUAUUCUGGAUACUGCCAUGACUUCAAAGAUUAAAAGACAAUCAUAAGACACUAAGUUAUGGAGGAGUGACAUCUGGCUUCUCGACAGACACCUCAGGCAACAGUAGUAAUAGCUUUGGAGAUGGCUGUGUAUCUGUAAUAGAGUUAAGUUUGUUGUCUGGAUUGUA